rnacentral:rRNA from 1 species
UACGUAGGGGGCUAGCGUUGUCCGGAAUCAUUGGGCGUAAAGCGCGCGUAGGCGGCCCGGUAAGUCCGUUGUAAAAGUCGAAGGCUCAACCUUCGAAAGCCGAUGGAUACUGCCGGGCUAGAGUACGGAAGAGGCGAGUAGAAUUCCUGGUGUAGCGGUGGAAUGCGCAGAUAUCAGGAGGAAUACCCAUAGCGAAGGCAGCUCGCUGGGACGUUACUGACGCUGAGGCGCGAAAGCGUGGGGAGCGAACAGG